GCACCCCAGCCUGGACAGGCCUAUCACCGUGGAGUGGAAGGCACAGUCUGAUUCUGCCCGGAGCAAGACACUGACUGGAGUCGGGGGCUUCAUGCUGGGGCUCAUCAUGUUUGGGGUGGGCACCUUCAUGCUCAUGAGGAGCAGGAAAGUUCAACGAGGAUCUCGAUGAACAGAAUUUCUGGAAAGCCUCCGUGUGCCUUGGAACAAAUAUUUUCCAUGUUUCCUCAGUCCCAGGGUCUGGCUCAGGUCAGACUUUCAGCUUCCCAAGAAGACAUUGCUGCCACACAAUUGCUCUGAAACCAGGUUCUGCAGGCUGUGCUUCGAUUCAAUGUACAGUUUCUCCCAUGAGGCUCCCAGCCAUGUUCCCUUCUCCUUGCUCCAUAAACAAUCAGAAUCCAACCUUAUUAUCUGUUUUCUUUUGAAAAUAAGUACCAAGUCAUCUCUGCUAUUGCUUUUGUUGAGGGUUGUGAUAAAUAGAGUUAAUAAAGAAGUUUAUUGUUGUUUAUA